rnacentral:rRNA from 1 species
ACACUAUCAUUAACUGAAUCCAUAGGUUAAUGAGGCGAACCGGGGGAACUGAAACAUCUAAGUACCCCGAGGAAAAGAAAUCAACCGAGAUUCCCCCAGUAGCGGCGAGCGAACGGGGAGGAGCCCAGAGCCUGAAUCAGUGUGUGUGUUAGUGGAAGCGUCUGGAAAGGCGCGCGAUACAGGGUGACAGCCCCGUACACAAAAAUGCACAUGCUGUGAGCUCGAUGAGUAGGGCGGGACACGUGGUAUCCUGUCUGAAUAUGGGGGGACCAUCCUCCAAGGCUAAAUACUCCUGACUGACCGAUAGUGAACCAGUACCGUGAGGGAAAGGCGAAAAGAACCCCGGCGAGGGGAGUGAAAAAGAACCUGAAACCGUGUACGUACAAGCAGUGGGAGCACGCUUAGGCGUGUGACUGCGUACCUUUUGUAUAAUGGGUCAGCGACUUAUAUUCUGUAGCAAGGUUAACCGAAUAGGGGAGCCGAAGGGAAACCGAGUCUUAACUGGGCGUUAAGUUGCAGGGUAUAGACCCGAAACCCGGUGAUCUAGCCAUGGGCAGGUUGAAGGUUGGGUAACACUAACUGGAGGACCGAACCGACUAAUGUUGAAAAAUUAGCGGAUGACUUGUGGCUGGGGGUGAAAGGCCAAUCAAACCGGGAGAUAGCUGGUUCUCCCCGAAAGCUAUUUAGGUAGCGCCUCGUGAAUUCAUCUCCGGGGGUAGAGCACUGUUUCGGCAAGGGGGUCAUCCCGACUUACCAACCCGAUGCAAACUGCGAAUACCGGAGAAUGUUAUCACGGGAGACACACGGCGGGUGCUAACGUCCGUCGUGAAGAGGGAAACAACCCAGACCGCCAGCUAAGGUCCCAAAGUCAUGGUUAAGUGGGAAACGAUGUGGGAAGGCCCAGACAGCCAGGAUGUUGGCUUAGAAGCAGCCAUCAUUUAAAGAAAGCGUAAUAGCUCACUGGUCGAGUCGGCCUGCGCGGAAGAUGUAACGGGGCUAAACCAUGCACCGAAGCUGCGGCAGCGACGCUUAUGCGUUGUUGGGUAGGGGAGCGUUCUGUAAGCCUGUGAAGGUGUGCUGUGAGGCAUGCUGGAGGUAUCAGAAGUGCGAAUGCUGACAUAAGUAACGAUAAAGCGGGUGAAAAGCCCGCUCGCCGGAAGACCAAGGGUUCCUGUCCAACGUUAAUCGGGGCAGGGUGAGUCGACCCCUAAGGCGAGGCCGAAAGGCGUAGUCGAUGGGAAACAGGUUAAUAUUCCUGUACUUGGUGUUACUGCGAAGGGGGGACGGAGAAGGCUAUGUUGGCCGGGCGACGGUUGUCCCGGUUUAAGCGUGUAGGCUGGUUUUCCAGGCAAAUCCGGAAAAUCAAGGCUGAGGCGUGAUGACGAGGCACUACGGUGCUGAAGCAACAAAUGCCCUGCUUCCAGGAAAAGCCUCUAAGCAUCAGGUAACAUCAAAUCGUACCCCAAACCGACACAGGUGGUCAGGUAGAGAAUACCAAGGCGCUUGAGAGAACUCGGGUGAAGGAACUAGGCAAAAUGGUGCCGUAACUUCGGGAGAAGGCACGCUGAUAUGUAGGUGAAGUCCCUUGCGGAUGGAGCUGAAAUCAGUCGAAGAUACCAGCUGGCUGCAACUGUUUAUUAAAAACACAGCACUGUGCAAACACGAAAGUGGACGUAUACGGUGUGACGCCUGCCCGGUGCCGGAAGGUUAAUUGAUGGGGUCAGCGCAAGCGAAGCUCUUGAUCGAAGCCCCGGUAAACGGCGGCCGUAACUAUAACGGUCCUAAGGUAGCGAAAUUCCUUGUCGGGUAAGUUCCGACCUGCACGAAUGGCGUAAUGAUGGCCAGGCUGUCUCCACCCGAGACUCAGUGAAAUUGAACUCGCUGUGAAGAUGCAGUGUACCCGCGGCAAGACGGAAAGACCCCGUGAACCUUUACUAUAGCUUGACACUGAACAUUGAGCCUUGAUGUGUAGGAUAGGUGGGAGGCUUAGAAGUGUGGACGCCAGUCUGCAUGGAGCCGGCCUUGAAAUACCACCCUUUAAUGUUUGAUGUUCUAACGUUGACCCGUAAUCCGGGUUGCGGACAGUGUCUGGUGGGUAGUUUGACUGGGGCGGUCUCCUCCUAAAGAGUAACGGAGGAGCACGAAGGUUGGCUAAUCCUGGUCGGACAUCAGGAGGUUAGUGCAAUGGCAUAAGCCAGCUUGACUGCGAGCGUGACGGCGCGAGCAGGUGCGAAAGCAGGUCAUAGUGAUCCGGUGGUUCUGAAUGGAAGGGCCAUCGCUCAACGGAUAAAAGGUACUCCGGGGAUAACAGGCUGAUACCGCCCAAGAGUUCAUAUCGACGGCGGUGUUUGGCACCUCGAUGUCGGCUCAUCACAUCCUGGGGCUGAAGUAGGUCCCAAGGGUAUGGCUGUUCGCCAUUUAAAGUGGUACGCGAGCUGGGUUUAGAACGUCGUGAGACAGUUCGGUCCCUAUCUGCCGUGGGCGCUGGAGAACUGAGGGGGGCUGCUCCUAGUACGAGAGGACCGGAGUGGACGCAUCACUGGUGUUCGGGUUGUCAUGCCAAUGGCACUGCCCGGUAGCUAAAUGCGGAAGAGAUAAGUGCUGAAAGCAUCUAAGCACGAAACUUGCCCCGAGAUGAGUUCUCCCUGACUCCUUGAGAGUCCUGAAGGAACGUUGAAGACGACGACGUUGAUAGGCCGGGUGUGUAAGCGCAGCGAUGCGUUGAGCUAACCGGUACUAAUGAACCGUGAGGCUUAACCUU